rnacentral:lncRNA from 1 species
AAAAUUUUAGUGCAAAUUACAAUCCCCUGGCAAUAAGCUGUAAACAAAAUUUUGGCACGAGCUCGGUCGAUGGUCCCUCUUGAUUUAUUACCUUCUGCUCUUCUUUCUUGCUAAUGAAUUCGCCAUUUUCUUCCAGAGCAAACGCUGAUCUCCUCCUUCCCUCCGCUACCAAAAGGUCCAAAACAGAGCCUCUCACAGAUCCAUUCUCUUCUUUUACGCGUGUACCGGAGCCACCUGCAACUCAACCACCACCUCUUAAAGCCGCCGGCGCCGGUCUCGCAGAACGCCAGCUCUUACAUCGCCAUUAACCUGACCAGACACACCGUUUCCCUUUCGCAUUUGCACAUCAGAGCCGACCGGUCGUCCGAUUUCACGAACAGACGCACACAUCUUCAUUCCACCGCUCGUCUCGCGCUCUUCUCAUCUACACAAGAUCUUCUUGAAAGACUUUCUGUACAUCACGGAAAGGUGACUUACCUCUCCCAUUUUGAGUAAUGUUGAUAAAUCGAAAUUUGGAUAUGUAGGAAUUUUCACUGUAAAGUUCUAGAUUGUUGAUUAAGGUUUACGUAACUCUGAUAGAAUGUUUGUUUUCUUUGAAUCUGCUUUUCAGGGUUAUUUAUUGAGUUUAGUAAGAAGACCUAGUUAAUAAGAUUUGUUUCUUUUCGUAUCUUGUGGUAUUGCUUGUCUUUUCCCAUGUGAUAGCUGAUCUCGAGCUUUUUCUGCUGCAUUUCUCUAUCUCUGGUUGCUGAUCUCGUUAAGGUUCCAGCAUAAGUUUUCCUUGAGCACUGAACCUUUCUGUGUUAUGCUAAGCAUAGAGGACUAAACAUUGUUAAUCUUAAAUAAAAAAGUUUGUAAAUUACUGCUGUUGAUUUGAGAAUAUGGAAGAUGAGUUAUCACUGUUCUUCUUUUCCCUUGGAUCCGUUACCUGUGAGCUUUUGAGUUUAUGUAUCCUUUCCACAAAGGGAAGUGCUAAAGGGAUUGUGUAUUCUUACUGGACUUUGCCAAACUUCAUAAUUUGCACUACCAUCUAUUUAUUGUCCAUCAAAAGAUACAUUGUCUGAUACCCAUGUAAUUGAUUGUCUUGUGCAUUCUGAGUCUUGUAGUUUCUUUUGAAC